rnacentral:rRNA from 1 species
GACGAACGCUGGCGGCGUGCUUAACACAUGCAAGUCGAACGGCAAGGCCCUGCUUUUGUGGGGUGCUCGAGUGGCGAACGGGUGAGUAACACGUGAGUAACCUGCCCUUGACUUUGGGAUAACUUCAGGAAACUGGGGCUAAUACCGGAUAGGAGCUCCUGCUGCAUGGUGGGGGUUGGAUAGUUUCGGCGGUUGGGGAUGGACUCGCGGCUUAUCAGCUUGUUGGUGGGGUAGUGGCUUACCAAGGCUUUGACGGGUAGCCGGCCUGAGAGGGUGACCGGCCACAUUGGGACUGAGAUACGGCCCAGACUCCUACGGGAGGCAGCAGUGGGGAAUAUUGCACAAUGGGCGGAAGCGUGAUGCAGCAACGCCGCGUGCGGGAUGACGGCCUUCGGGUUGUAAACCGCUUUCGCCUGUGACGAAGCGUGAGUGACGGUAAUGGGUAAAGAAGCACCGGCUAACUACGUG